GGAGCCGGCCAGACAGUCGCGUCACCCGCAAGGGUGCCGAGGAAAGUCCGGGCUCCACAGGGCACGGUGCCAGGUAACGCCUGGGCGGCGCGAGCCGACGGAAAGUGCAACAGAAAGAUACCGCCAACGGUUCUUCGGGGCACUUGCCGGACGAACGUCCGGCAAAGUGUUCCAACUCGCCGAAAGGCGAGGUGGAAUGCGGGCAAGGGUGAAAUGGUGCGGUAAGAGCGCACCGCGAGUCUGGCAACAGACCGGCACGGCAAACCCCACCGGGAGCAAGACCAAAUAGGGAGACGUCGAUGCGGCCCGCAGAGUCUCCGGGUAGGUUGCUUGAGCGUAUCGGUGACGAUGCGCCUAGAGGAAUGACUGUCGCGGCGCGCAAGCGUCGAACAGAACCCGGCUUACCGGCCGGCUCCGCCA
rnacentral:RNase_P_RNA from 1 species